rnacentral:lncRNA from 1 species
UCCUCAUGAAUAAUUUUGUGCAAGUUCUUGUGUUAUUUGGCCGUUUUUCUGAGUUACUGUAUUUUGUUUUUAGGUUCGUCCAGAUGUUCAUUAUCUUGGAUUUUUAAUGGUCCUUGCAUUAGCUGACGUCUGCUCCUACCUUGCUCCAUUGUAUUUACUUCUUAUUAUUAACUUGAUGCACCCUUUUCUAUGUCUGCAGUAAAAUCUGAACAACUAUUCAUUGAUUUGCAGUGCUAUAAGAGAAUAGAAUACAAAACUCCCACCUUUUGCAUGCUCCUUCCAAUUCAACGGGACAAAAUAUGUUUCGAAAUAUGAUUGGCAUUUCAGCUUCAGGUAGUGAAGCUCAGAUUCAUCAAGAUGACACAAAUAAUUCUCGCGGAUGCAUUGUUUUUUGUCUGCUAUUGUUUGGAGAGAAUGUUUAGGAAGUAAAGGAGAAAUUAGAGUGGGAUUAGCUGUCCUGAGAACGAUGUAUCAUUUACUUCCAUCAUGGAGGGAGCAAAUUUGGGUAAUGGCUAUUAUAUAAUAUUGAUUGAUGUUAAGAAUUACACAGUGAUGUACAUGUUCAUAAACUGCUUUGAAAAUAAGAAUUUCAUUUGC